UACGUAGGGUGCAAGCGUUGUCCGGAAUUAUUGGGCGUAAAGAGCUCGUAGGCGGUGUGUCGCGUCGGCCGUGAAAACCUGCAGCUUAACUGUGGGCUUGCGGUCGAUACGGGCAUCACUGGAGUUCGGCAGGGGAGACUGGAAUUCCUGGUGUAGCGGUGAAAUGCGCAGAUAUCAGGAGGAACACCGGUGGCGAAGGCGGGUCUCUGGGCCGAUACUGACGCUGGGGAGCGAAAGCGUGGGGAGCGAACGAGG
rnacentral:rRNA from 1 species